AAAAGCAGAGGCAGGGAGUCCCCAAGAUCAGCUGGAGUCGGGGGAGGUGGAGAGAGCAGAGAAUUGUAAGGAGAAGGGACACGGGAAUUUUCCUUGACUUUCUGCAUGUCUUCUGACGGAGCCCCCAGAAUCCGGGAGAGAGGGAAGCAAAUGCCCUGUUUAUCCAUAUUGUCAGCAUGAGGAAGCCGCAGAGAUGCACAGCAACUGCUAAGGACAAGUGUAGCAUCCUAAAAAUCACAGAAAUGUGACGGAAGAGAGCUUGGCUUUGGAGCCGGAAGGCAUGGAUUCAAAGCCCCAAAUCUGUUGAUCACCAUCUGUAGGACUUUGGACAAUGACUCAGCCUCUCUUAGAACUAGAUUUCCUAAUGGUGAAAUGGCUCCAGCUGUCACCAGAAACACACUGUUCAAGACUGUUUAUGACUCUUCUGAACCCGAUUGUUGAGAACAGAGACUCCACACCAGGCCUCUGACUCUGCCUCGGCCAUCCCCAAACCUUUGUUCGAGAAAUUCGACGUGAGCUCUCGAGCCUGCCCUGGGAGUGCUGUCACUUGCGCUCCACAACUUUUAAUGCAGAGAAAAUGGCUGUCUUGGGGCCAUCCUGCAGGGCAAGUUCACUCCCUGAGGUGGUUUCCUCACGUGUGAUGAGGACAGCGCAGCAGCCCGAGAGGGCUAUUGAGAGACAAAGCCAGAGGUGGCGCGAGCUGGCCCGACCAGGACCGCGACACCAUGAUGGUCUCACACCAGGAGAGAAGACAGGGGUUCUGGGUCAACCUGCUUUCCUUUCAGCACAAACCUCCCCUGCCUUUCACUGGGUUUUCAACUGGAAGGAAGCCUUUGUACCCAGAGUCACCGACAGAGAACCAGCUUCUGCGGUGGGCCGCUCACUUGAGCGGAAAGACUACGAAGGUUCAGUUUCCCCCACCUCGGAGCUUCCCCAGCUCUUUAAGCCCCAUUACGUUUUAAUUUAAUUGUCGCCACUUUGUGCUGGAAUUGUGUUUUAUGAGCACAUUACCAGACGUUGAAGGCUUGUAAAAC
rnacentral:lncRNA from 1 species